rnacentral:rRNA from 1 species
ACAGGGAUUGCCCUAGUAACGGCGAGUGAAGCGGCAACAGCUCAAAUUUGAAAUCUGGCUCUUUCAGGGUCCGAGUUGUAAUUUGCAGAGGGCGCUUUGGCUUUGGCAGCGGUCCAAGUUCCUUGGAACAGGACGUCACAGAGGGUGAGAAUCCCGUACGUGGUCGCUAGCUAUUGCCGUGUAAAGCCCCUUCGACGAGUCGAGUUGUUUGGGAAUGCAGCUCUAAAUGGGAGGUAAAUUUCUUCUAAAGCUAAAUACUGGCCAGAGACCGAUAGCGCACAAGUAGAGUGAUCGAAAGAUGAAAAGCACUUUGGAAAGAGAGUCAAACAGCACGUGAAAUUGUUGAAAGGGAAGCGCUUGCAGCCAGACUUGCUUGCAGUUGCUCAUCCGGACUUUUGUCCGGUGCACUCUUCUGCAGGCAGGCCAGCAUCAGUUUGGGCGGUGGGAUAAAGGUCUCUGUCACGUACCUCUCUUCGGGGAGGCCUUAUAGGGGAGACGACAUACCACCAGCCUGGACUGAGGUCCGCGCAUUUGCUAGGAUGCUGGCGUAAUGGCUGUAAGCGGCCCGUCUUGAAACACGGACCAAGGAGUCUAACAUCUAUGCGAGUGUUUGGGUGUCAAGCCCGAACGCGUAAUGAAAGUGAACGGAGGUGGGAACCCGCAAGGGUGCACCAUCGACCGAUCCUGAUGUCUUCGGAAGGAUUUGAGUAAGAGCAUGGCUGUUGGGACCCGAAAGAUGGUGAACUAUGCUUGAAUAGGGUGAAGCCAGAGGAAACUCUGGUGGAGGCUCGCAGCGGUUCUGACGUGCAAAUCGAUCGUCAAAUUUGGGCAUAGGGGCGAAAGACUAAUCGAACUAUCUAGUAGCUGGU